UUUUGUCUGGAAGAACACAGCAGGCCAGGUUAUGCGUGGCGUUCUGAGGAAGGACCCAGCUUCAGCUGUUCACCAUACCUCUAUACUGAACAAGGGCAGAAUUGCAAGAAUUGCAGAUUGGAGUCUUUUUCCUCAUGAGUUGACUUCUCACUGCAGCUGGUCUGGAAGAUAUUCUUCUUCCAGCACACUAAGGUGAAAGCUGCUGAAGCUGAUUGGUCUUGAUUGUUCAGAUGAAAAAGCUACAAAACUCAAAAUCUAAGAAUAUUUUGUACACCCAGGCUAAGAUGUGCAUUUAUCUCUACAUGGACCAGAAGCAAAGGAACAACAGGAAUUAA